rnacentral:rRNA from 1 species
CCUACGGGGAGCAGCAGUGGGGAAUAUUGGACAAUGGGGGCAACCCUGAUCCAGCCAUGCCGCGUGUGUGAAGAAGGCCCUCGGGUUGUAAAGCACUUUCAGUGAGGAAGAACGCCUGGUGGUUAAUACCCAUCAGUAAAGACAUCACUCACAGAAGAAGCACCGGCUAACUCCGUGCCAGCAGCCGCGGUAAUACGGAGGGUGCGGGCGUUAAUCGGAAUUACUGGGCGUAAAGCGCGCGUAGGUGGCUUGAUAAGCCGGUUGUGAAAGCCCCGGGCUCAACCUGGGAACGGCAUCCGGAACUGUCAAGCUAGAGUGCAGGAGAGGAAGGUAGAAUUCCCGGUGUAGCGGUGAAAUGCGUAGAGAUCGGGAGGAAUACCAGUGGCGAAGGCGGCCUUCUGGACUGACACUGACACUGAGGUGCGAAAGCGUGGGUAGCAAACAGGAUUAGAUACCCUAGUAGUC